rnacentral:rRNA from 1 species
AGCUCCAAUAGCGUAUAUUAAAGUUGUUGCAGUUAAAAAGCUCGUAGUUGGAUUCCUGGUUAGAGUGGCCGGUCUGGUCCGAACGGAUCAGUACUUUGAGCUGUCUUUGACCUUCCUUGGGGAGAAUCUGUGUUGCUAUUGAUUUAGUGGUGCAGGGGACCCCCAUCGUUUACUGUGAAAAAUUAGAGUGUUUAAAGCAGGCAUUUGCUGUGAAUACAUUAGCAUGGAAUAAUAAGAUAGGACUUUGGUGCUAUUUUGUUGGUUUGCACACCAAGGUAAUGAUUAACAGGGACAGUUGGGGGUAUUCGUAUUUAAUUGUCAGAGGUGAAAUUCAUGGAUUUAUGAAAGACGAACUACUGCGAAAGCAUUUACCAAGGAUGUUUUCAUUAAU